AACCAGAAAUUCUCUCACACCCUCUCCCUUUCUCCAGAAACCGGCCAAGGGCCCGGCCGUUGACCGCCGGAGCCGCGCGCGGCGGCGGGGAGACCAAAAGUCUCCUUUUCUCCGCCGAAUGGUCUCCUCGUCCUCCUGAUCGCUCCGACGUCGGUAAAAGAGGGUGAUUUGAUGGCACAAGUGGGCGACGUGGGACGUGCGGCGGUGGCAGAGCGGCGGCCAGCAAGUGGACGACCCUAGGUGCGGCGCACCUAGGGUUAGGGUUACAUUUUUUUGUUGUUUUCUGAUUUGGGCUAGGUUUGGGUAUUUGGGCUGAGGGUUAGUGGGUUAGGCUAGUUGGGUAUUGGGUUGCUGAUUUGGGCUUUGGUUUUGGUGUGGUUAGGCUUGUAUUUGGGCCUGGGUAGUUGGGCUUGGUUUAGUUUGUUGGGUUUGGGUUGGUUGUUUAAAAUGGGCCUGUACAAUAUAUUUUUUAAUUUAUGAUAUUAGUUUUUAUUAAA